rnacentral:piRNA from 1 species
UGAUAGUGUAGACCUUGCUUGCUGU